UGGGGUAAAGCUUUUCUAGAAGCAUUUUAUUUACAUUAAACAGAAUAUUUAUUUUUAAUAUACCUUGA
rnacentral:tRNA from 1 species